CUCUUGUUUUAUGAGUUGUGAACAUUUUAUUCAUGUUGUAGUAUGUUAAUAUGGAGGAAAUUGGUGAAAUAUUGUAUGUUGGAAGUGGGUUGUGUAAUGGGUGUGUCAGCCGUGGGAGGUGUGUGUGUUGUGUGGUAUUGAGUUGAUGAAUUAGUUUCAUGUAGCAUGUUUGAUUGUUGUAGGGUGAAGAAAUAAAUUAGAACCAUCUAAAUGUGUAUAUGGGUGUAUGGCCGUGUAUAUAGCCUCCAAUUUGUAGCAAAGAAUGAGUUAAUAUCGCUUGGUGUUUUAGUUGUUGUCGUUAUGAAUUCUAGUUUGGAAAUGAAAGUUUAAUGUCCCAAAAUGAUAUGGUGAAUUGUUGCGGGCUGAUUUGAGGCUUAUUGUGCAUUUGAUGAAAUUUGUAUAUUUAUGGAAAUGAUAUCGUUAUAGUAGGGAUUAUUGGUGCAAAACAUGAUCCGAAAGUCGGAAGGUGUGUUAUAGUGAGGUUCUCGGUUUAGGGGCUGUUUUCGGCCAAGUUGGAGAAAAUGUGGGAUUGUUGGAAAUAUUAUGUAAAUUGUUUAAAGUGUUAUUGAAUGUUGUUAGUAUGGGUUUGGGUUAGUAUUUGAAUGUAUAAGUGUUGAGGUUGGCUUGAAAGUAAGCCGUUGAUUUGAAUAUUUGGAAAGUAGUUGAAUGAUGUAAAAGAGAGUUACUAUUGCUAUAUUGCCUUUCGAAUUGGUUAUCGAUGUUGCUAGGUUGGUUAUUGUUGUUGUUGUUGUUGAUAUUGGACGAGUUAAAUUCUCGGGUUGGCCUAUUUACAGGGGAAAUGCUGCCCAAAUUUCUGUAGAAUUUAGAAUUAGUUUGGGAUAAAUGGCUUAAGUACCUAUGGCUAAUGUUUGAUAUUCAUUGGCGUAUUUGUAGACCUUGGGGAGCCCGAGGCAUAGAUUGGGAUUAACUUUAGAUUGGCUAGCUUGGAGUGCGUACGAGGUACAGACGCACAGUUUGGUGAUCCACCAGUUUAGGACACCCUCUUUUGCUGUUCGGAGUGCUCUUCUCAUUUCAGAGCCUACAUUUUGGUAUAUAUGUUCGUUUGUUACAUAUGUAUAUAUUUGGUUCAGGGGUACGGCGGGGCCCUGUCCCGCCAUAUGUUUUUGUGGUCUGUUUAGAGGUCUGUAGAUGUAUUUGUGGGUGUGUGUGCCUACUUCUGUUCGGAUGUGUCUGUAUAAUCCUAUUCGCUAUGGCAGCCUUGUCG